GUACGGGAGGCAGCAGUGAGGAAUAUUGGACAAUGGGGGGAACCCUGAUCCAGCCAUGCCGCGUGUGUGAAGAAGGCCUUUUGGUUGUAAAGCACUUUAAGCGAGGAGGAGGCUCCCAGUAUUAAUACUACUGGAGAGUGGACGUUACUCGCAGAAUAAGCACCGGCUAACUCUGUGCCAGCAGCCGCGGUAAUACAGAGGGUGCAAGCGUUAAUCGGAUUUACUGGGCGUAAAGCGUGCGUAGGUGGCCAAUUAAGUCAAAUGUGAAAUCCCCGAGCUUAACUUGGGAAUUGCAUUCGAUACUGGUUGGCUAGAGUAUGGGAGAGGAUGGUAGAAUUCCAGGUGUAGCGGUGAAAUGCGUAGAGAUCUGGAGGAAUACCGAUGGCGAAGGCAGCCAUCUGGCCUAAUACUGACACUGAGGUACGAAAGCAUGGGGAGCAAACAGGAUUAGAUACCCCGGU
rnacentral:rRNA from 1 species